rnacentral:piRNA from 1 species
UAUGCCAUUUUGAGAAAGUCAUCAUCCACCA